rnacentral:rRNA from 1 species
UACAGAGGUCCCAAGCGUUGUUCGGAUUCAUUGGGCGUAAAGGGUGCGUAGGUGGCGGGGUAAGUUGGAUGUGAAAUCCCGGGGCUCAACCCUGGAACUGCAUUCAAUACUGCUCUGCUAGAGUACUGGAGAGGAGAUUGGAAUUCAUGGUGUAGCAGUGAAAUGCGUAGAUAUCAUGAGGGAGACCAGUGGCGAAGGCGGAUCUCUGGACAGUUACUGACACUGAGGCACGAAGGCCAGGGGAGCAAACGGG